rnacentral:rRNA from 1 species
CGGGGUGCACCAGGCGCGAAAACUCUACAAUGCAGGCAACUGCGAUAGGGGAACAUCGAGUGGCACCCACCAUGGGUGUCUGUCCAACCGUCUAAAAAACGGUUGUUAGCAAGGGCCGGGUAAGACCGGUGCCAGCCGCCGCGGUAAUACCGGCGGCUCGAGUGGUGGCCGAUAUUAUUGAGUCUAAAGGGUCCGUAGCUGGCUUUGCAAGUCCCCUGGGAAAUCCAGCGGCUUAACCGUUGGGCUUCCAUGGGAUACUACAUUGCUUGGGACUGGGAGAGGUAGGAGGUACUCAGGGGGUAGGGGUGAAAUCCUGUAAUCCUCUGGGGACCACCGGUGGCGAAGGCGUCCUACCAGAACAGGUCCGACAGUGAGGGACGAAAGCUAGGGGCACGAACCGGAUUAGAUACCCGGGUAGUCCUAGCCGUAAACGAUGCUCGCUAGGUGUCACGGCAGUCGUGAAUUGUCGUGGUGCCGUAGGGAAGCCGUGAAGCGAGCCACUUGGGAAGUACGACCGCAAGGUUGAAACUUAAAGGAAUUGGCGGGGGAGCAC